GACAGAGGUGCCGAGCGUUAGGCGGAAUCACUGGGCUUAAAGCGUGUGUAGGCGGGCGGGCAAGUACCUUGUGAAAUCCCACGGCUCAACCGUGGAACUGCUGGGUAUACUGCCUGUCUUGAGCCAGCUAGGGGCGAGCGGAACAGACGGUGGAGCGGUGAAAUGCGUAAGAUAUCGUCUGACGCCGAAGGUGAAAACAGCUCGCUGGGGCUGUGCUGACGCUGAGACACGAAAGCCAGGGGAGCGAACGGG
rnacentral:rRNA from 1 species